rnacentral:rRNA from 1 species
AGUGAACGCUGGCGGUAGGCCUAACACAUGCAAGUCGAACGGCAGCACAGUAAGAGCUUGCUCUUACGGGUGGCGAGUGGCGGACGGGUGAGGAAUACCUCGGAAUCUACUUUUUCGUGGGGGAUAACGUAGGGAAACUUACGCUAAUACCGCAUACGACCUACGGGUGAAAGCAGGGGAUCUUCGGACCUUGCGCGAUUGUAUGAGCCGAUGUCGGAUUAGCUAGUUGGCGGGGUAAAGGCCCACCAAGGCGACGAUCCGUAGCUGGCCUGAGAGGAUGAUCAGCCACACUGGAACUGAGACACGGUCCAGACUCCUACGGGAGGCAGCAGUGGGGAAUAUUGGACAAUGGGCGCAAGCCUGAUCCAGCCAUACCGCGUGGGUGAAGAAGGCCUUCGGGUUGUAAAGCCCUUUUGUUGGGAAAGAAAAGCAGCAGGUUAAUACCCCGCUGUUCUGACGGUACCCAAAGAAUAAGCACCGGCUAACUUCGUG